UCACCUGUUUAUCAAAAACAUGUCUUAAUGAAAAAUAAUUUUAAGUCUAAUCUGCUCAAUGAAUAAUUUUAAAUAGCUGCAGUAUAAAUAACUGUACAAAGGUAGCAUAAUAAUUUGUUUUUUAAUUGAAAACUAGAAUGAAUGAUUAAAUGAAAUAUAAACUAUAUCAAAUUUAAAAAAUAAAUUUAUUAUUUAAAUAAAAAAAUUUAAAUAAUUUUUAAAGACGAGAAGACCCUAAAGAAUUUUAAUAAUAAAUUAUAAUAUAAAUUUAAAAUUUAUUAUAUUAAUUGGGGAAAUUUUAAAAUUUAAAAAAUUUUUAAUUAAAUAAACAUAAAUUUUUGAAUAUUUAAAAUUUUUUUAAAAAAUGAAAUUAAAUUACCUUAGGGAUACCAGCAUAAUUUUUUUAAAAAGUUCAAAUUUAUAAAAAAGUUUAUGACCUCGAUGUUGAAUUAAGAUUAAAUUUAAUAGAAAAUUAUUAAAAAUUUAAGUCUGUU
rnacentral:rRNA from 1 species